UACGUAGGGCGCAAGCGUUAUCCGGAAUUAUUGGGCGUAAAGAGCUCGUAGGCGGUUUGUCGCGUCUGCCGUGAAAGUCCGGGGCUCAACUCCGGAUCUGCGGUGGGUACGGGCAGACUAGAGUGAUGUAGGGGAGACUGGAAUUCCUGGUGUAGCGGUGAAAUGCGCAGAUAUCAGGAGGAACACCGAUGGCGAAGGCAGGUCUCUGGGCAUUAACUGACGCUGAGGAGCGAAAGCAUGGGGAGCGAACUGAUG
rnacentral:rRNA from 1 species